CGGUACGGCGCACUCCACUUCUUGCGCCGCACCGGCAAAUGAAAAGGAGGAAUGAGCCGCUGUGGCUGGCGGUGCGGCAGUGUGGAGACCUGCCGUAAGGCGCGAGGGACAUUUCCGCCCCGCGUGAAGCUGUCGUCUGCGGAGGCAGGGCAGCUACAGUCAAGAGCGUAUGGCA
rnacentral:ncRNA from 1 species